GGACCGUCCUGUUUAGUUCAAAUCCAACAGCUUGCCGCCACUCGCCGGCGAUGAAAAAACAACCAGGAAAAGAAGGAAGGGGAGGAAAGGAGCUUAUCUUGCUCUGACAAUCGAGAAGAACUCUGACGAUCCUGUCUUCCCAUCCAAGAACUCACAAAAAAUCCUUGGAGACAUUUCGAUGAGCUCUCAAAAUCUUUGAUGAAGAUUUAAGAGAGGAGAGG
rnacentral:lncRNA from 1 species